rnacentral:rRNA from 1 species
AUUGAACGCUGGCGGCAGGCCUAACACAUGCAAGUCGAACGAGUGGCGGACGGGUGAGUAAUGUCUGGGAAACUGCCCGAUGGAGGGGGAGAACGACUGGAAACGGUAGUUAAUACCGCAUACCAUUGGAUGUGCCUAGAAGGGAUUAGCUAGUAGGUGGGGUAACGGCUCACCUAGGCGACGAUCCCUAGCUGGUCUGAGAGGAUGACCAGCCACACUGGAACUGAGACACGGUCCAGACUCCUACGGGAGGCAGCAGUGGGGAAUAUGGCACAAUGGGCGCAAGCCUGAUGCAGCCAUGCCGCGUGUAUGAAGAAGGUCUUCGGGUUGUAAAGUACUUUCAGCGGGGAGGCGUUACUCGCAGAAGAAGCACCGGCUAACUCCGUGCCAACAGCCGCGGUAAUUC